rnacentral:rRNA from 1 species
GAGCACGUAGGUGGGUUUGUAAGUCAGAUGUGAAAGCCUCCUGUUCAACGGGAGAAUUGCAUCUGAAACUGCAGAUCUUGAGUGUAGGAGGGGAGAAUGGAACUUCUGGUGGAGCGGUGAAAUGCGUAGAUAUCAGAAGGAACGCCGGCGGCGAAAGCGAUUCUCUGGCCUAUUACCGACACUCAGUGUGCGAAAGCUAGGGGAGCAAACGGGAUUAGAUACCCCGGUAGUCCUAGCCGUAAACGAUGGGCACUAAGUAGAGGGAAUUACCGAUAUUCUCUCUGCCGUAGCUAACGCAUUAAGUGCCCCGCCUGGGGAGUACGGCCGCAAGGCUAAAACUCGAAAGAAUUGACGGGGGCUCGCACAAGCGGUGGAGCAUGUGGCUUAAUUCGAUGCAACGCGAAAAACCUUACCGGGGCUUGACAUGGUAGAAGUAGGAACCCGAAAGGGUAACGAACGGUAUCCAGUCCGUAACUAUUACAGGUGUUGCAUGGCUGUCGUCAGCUCGUGUCGUGAGACGUUGGGUUAAGUCCCCUAACGAGCGAAACCCUUGUUUUUAGUUGCCAGCGGGUUAUGCCGGGCACUCUAGAAAGACUGCCGUCGUCAAGACGGAGGAGGGUGGGGAUGACGUCAAGUCAUCAUGGCCCUUAUGCCCCGGGCUUCACACGUGCUACAAUGGUCGGUACAAACGGAAGCGAAGCCGAGAGGUGAAGCGAAUCC